UGGUGGAGUGAUUUGCGUUAACGAACGAGACCUUAACCUGCUAAAUAGCUACGCGUAGCUUCGGUUACAUGGGCAACUUCUUAGAGGGACGUUGCGUGUCUAACGCAAGGAAGUUUGAGGCAAUAACA
rnacentral:rRNA from 1 species